GACGAACGCUGGCGGCGUGCUUAACACAUGCAAGUCGAACGGAAAGGCCCUGCUUUUGUGGGGUGCUCGAGUGGCGAACGGGUGAGUAACACGUGAGUAACCUGCCCUUGACUUUGGGAUAACUUCAGGAAACUGGGGCUAAUACCGGAUAGGAGCUCCUGCUGCAUGGUGGGGGUUGGAAAGUUUCGGCGGUUGGGGAUGGACUCGCGGCUUAUCAGCUUGUUGGUGGGGUAGUGGCUUACCAAGGCUUUGACGGGUAGCCGGCCUGAGAGGUGACCGGCCACAUUGGGACUGAGAUACGGCCCAGACUCCUACGGGAGGCAGCAGUGGGGAAUAUUGCACAAUGGGCGGAAGCCUGAUGCAGCAACGCCGCGUGCGGGAUGACGGCCUUCGGGUUGUAAACCGCUUUCGCCUGUGACGAAGCGUGAGUGGCGGUAAUGGGUAAAGAAGCACCGGCUAACUACGUG
rnacentral:rRNA from 1 species